GAUGAACGCUGGCGGCGUGCCUAAUACAUGCAAGUCGAGCGAACGGACGAGAAGCUUGCUUCUCUGAUGUUAGCGGCGGACGGGUGAGUAACACGUGGAUAACCUACCUAUAAGACUGGGAUAACUUCGGGAAACCGGAGCUAAUACCGGAUAAUAUUUUGAACCGCAUGGUUCAAAAGUGAAAGACGGUCUUGCUGUCACUUAUAGAUGGAUCCGCGCUGCAUUAGCUAGUUGGUAAGGUAACGGCUUACCAAGGCAACGAUGCAUAGCCGACCUGAGAGGGUGAUCGGCCACACGGGAACGGAGACACGGCCCAGAGUCCUACGGGAGGCAGCAGUAGGGAAUCGUCCGCAAUGGGCGAAAGCCUGACGGAGCAACGCCGCGUGAGUGAUGAAGGUCUUCGGAUCGUAAAACCCUGUUAUUAGGGAAGAACAUAUGUGUAAGGAACUGUGCACAUCGUGACGGUACCUAAUCAGAAAGCCACGGCUAACUACGUG
rnacentral:rRNA from 1 species